CUCAGCUCUGCCCUGGGGACAGCGUGAAGGUCGGCCAUGCAUCCGCUCCAGGGACUCAUCCUGCUGCUCUCACUGGCCUGUGGACGGUGCCAAUAUGCCUCCUUCAGCCAAAGCCCUUCCGAGAUCUCGGUGUCUCCCGGACAGACGGUGGCUCUGGAAUACGCUGUGGCAAACGUCACAGCGGACAAGGUCAAUAUGAACUGGAUCCGGCAGAGCCCUGGACAGAAACCUGAAGGGGUGCUGUUCUUCAAAAAGGAUCUGUCCAUUUACCGAGCUCCGGGGAUCCCGGAGCGAUACGACCCCUCCAGAGACGCCUCCAACAAGAAGUUCCUGCUCACUAUCCGUGAUGUCCAGGAAGGAGACGACUCCAUCUAUUUCUGCUUCGCCUAUUAUACAGAGGGAGUCCAGACGUGGGGAGAGGGGACCCGUGUGCGUGUGCUGAGGAGCAAUCUGCCCCAGCCCCGAAUCCAGCUGUUCCCUCCAGCCCAGGAGGAAAUCGCCACCGGCUUCGCCACCCUGACCUGCCUGGUGAGCGGCUUCUUCCCCGGCUACAUCGAUGUGCUGUGGAGGUGAGACUGCCAGACCCAGGCCCAGGGGGUGAGAACGGGGCUGGUGGCACUGGGAGAGGACAAGACCUACUCUGUGAGCAGCUACCUAACGGUGCCGGCCAACGAGUGGGGCUCGGGUGCCAGCUACAGCUGUGUGGUCAAGCACGAAUCGCUGGCGUCUGCACUGGAGAAGAGCAUCAGUGCCAAGGACUGCAAAAGACAGUAGCCCAGCAGGGAGCCUCUUCUCCCAGAUCCCAGGGGCCCUGUCAGGUUCAACCUCCCCCAUGCCCAUCUACCAGGCUGAGAAACCCCCCUCGGCUUGGAGGAAUACGGUCCCUCAUCCAGAGCAACCUCCCCCCAUGACCUGAUACUCCCUGAGAUCCCACCCAGCAGCACUCCUUCAACAGCAGUGGCUCCACUUCUGUCUUGCUUUUGGGGCGGGGGGGAGGAUCCAGCCUGGGUUGGGGGCAGAGCUGAAACCAAGAUGCAAAGCUUCAGUCCUGGUUCUCCAGACCAUACCUGGUUCCUUCUGCAACUCUGUCUAUCCUACUGUCCCUUCUCCUACCCUGCCGUCUGUCUGUCUGGCCCCUCUGUUUCUUUUCAAACACACUCAUCCCUCCAUACACAGCCCUCCUCUCUCUCCCUCCAUCCAUGUACACCCCUCUCCCCAUGGUUUUAAGGAUCUACAUAUCAGUGCUGCUUGUUUCCUCUCUACCUAUUCAUCUCGCCCCAUUAUCGACCCAAUGUACACAUCUAUUUACCUACCAAUCCGUCCAUCCAUCUAAUCUCAAUGCAUGCUCCCUUCUCAGCAGCAGCAUAGUAAUCCAGCAUUUAUAAAGUGGUAGAAAAAGCAAAGACAAUAAAA